GUGCAGCAGUCGCGCAACCUCUGCAAUACGCGAAAGCGUGACAGGGCUACCCCGAGUGCCGUCCGCUGAGGAUGGCUUUUCUCCGGUGUAGUAAGCCGGAGGAAUAAGGAGAGGGCAAGUCUGGUGUCAGCCGCCGCGGUAAUACCAGCUCUCCGAGUGGUAGGGACGAUUAUUGGGCCUAAAGCGUCCGUAGCCGGCCAAGCAAGUUUCCCGUUAAAUCCAGCGAUCCAAUCGUUGGACUGCGGGAAAUACUGUUUGGCUAGGGGGCGAGAGAGGCCAACGGUAUUCCCGGGGUAGGGGUGAAAUCCCAUAAUCCCGGGAGGACCACCAGUGGCGAAGGCUGUUGGCUAGAACGCGCUCGACGGUGAGGGACGAAAGCUGGGGGAGCGAACCGGAUUAGAUACCCGGGUAGUCC
rnacentral:rRNA from 1 species